CUCACGUGGGAGAGAUGGUGCCUCUCCCAACUAAGCUCUGCAAAUUAAACCAGGCAGUGCAGGCUGUUGAGGCAUAUCUCCCAUACCCAAGAUCCACCCAGCCAGCCUAUCUGUCUACCCCUCCCGCAUGACUGGUGGGCAGGGCUGCCUCCAGCCAGAAUGCUCCUCGCUCCCCUUGAUCAGGGCAGAUUCAAGCACACAGACCAGAAACUGCAGCAUGUCACAGAGUCCCAGCCAGCCAGAAGUCCCUGCAAAAGGACAAGGCACUCCAGAUGCUCCCCCAGAGGAGCCCCCCUGUGCUGAACUGAAAGCCAACUUUGAAAAAUGCGUUAAAGAGAAGGGAGAAGAGGCAUGCAAGGAACUGCUGGAGACAUAUCAUUCCUGCUUGCGGGCACUGGGCAUAGCUCACCCGAAUCUAAAAAACGGUCCCUAGCUUCCAAAUCACUGGGACCCCCAGCCAGCCUGUUUCCUUUCCUGUAGGGACUCCAGAAUGCUCAACGAACAGAAAGCUCAGCACUAAUGUACCAUUCUCAGCAGGCACCACAGAAAGAGUUCCCAGCUUCAAUAAAGCCCCUCCAUUUUAUUCUGACUGGACAUGUUAAAUUACUAAAUCAUUGCUCUUUAUUCAGUUGGAAGUUUUCUGGUUUUCCAUAAAUGGCAUAAUGUUCC
rnacentral:lncRNA from 1 species